CCUCCCUCUGAGCUGGGGCCCGAGGCGCUGGGCGCCGGCACCCGGACAGCGGCUACAGGGCGAGCCCGGAGUCGUUCUCCCCGUGCGAGCGCCGCCGCGCAGACCCUGGAACCCGCUCAACACGGAUCUCAUUAAUGCAGCUCGGCAGAGGAGCGACCCCGGGAAGGAAGCGCGGUCCGCGGAGCGGCCCCGGCUGUUGGGUCAGAUCAAAGCGCUGAACUGAGGCUCAUCAGAAUUUCUGGAAGCUGCUUUCCCGUCUUGAGUUUCUCUCCUGCGGUCAGGCGAACAGACGUUUUCCUAGCCGCGGGGGGGAAGCAGUUUUGUAAACUGGAAGAGGGCGUGGCCAAUUGCACCUUUAAAAAACGUAACCUUGUUCUGGGACCUAAAGGAAACAGAGAUCAGAAAGUCGGGUGGAUGAAGGAUCAAACCCACCAGGUACGGACGGAGUCCUGGUUUCCUCUAUGGCAGGUCCUCAAACUUUAGCGUGCACAGGACUCACCUGGGAAAUUUGUUAAAAUGCAGGUUGGCGUUCAGUGGGGCGAGCGCUGACCAUCUGCGUUUCUAACAGGACCUCAGAGGGUGGCACCUGGACCUGUGCAGAUCUGCGCACUGAAGCCUGUCUGUCACAGGUAGAGAAAUGCAGAACCGGGGUUUAGAAACUUUUGUAACGAUUUUAAAAUGCCACGACAUCCAAGCGCCUGAUCGUUGGACUCUUUGAACCGAGUAUACACCAGUUCGGGUGUUGUCAGACUGCAUGGUGAGUCAUACACCUGGCACAGCAGGGAUCGCCUAUUGGUUCCUAACAGAUCGUUGACAAAAAUGACUGGUUCUUCACCACAAGUAGUUAGAAACGCGCUCUCUGGGAUUUGCCAACUCAUGCUUUAAAACUCAAGCCAGAAAGUCACAUCUUCCAGAGGAAGCCUCCCCGGAGAUGCCAAGCCACUCACCCUGCUUCCAGCCCCACCGAGGCAUGGGUGUGGCUUAUUUCUAAGACUAUUGAAGAAACCACAUCAUAUUGUAAGGGGCUUUUUAUUGCUGUCCUACCCAUCUUCAGUUGGGAAAAUGGAAGCUCCUUAAGAAAGGGAACUGCGCUUUAAAAUUUGCAUCCCCUGUCUUUUUCAAAGAAUGAAUGAACCCUUGUGUGAAACUCCAAGCAUGUUUAUAACCCUUCUCAGAGCCGUUCUCCAGCAUUAAUAUUUAUUCAGCCCACCCCCCUGUGGAAAACGUCAUGGUAUAAUUUGUGAUAGUGCACUAUGCUGUUGCCCUGUUUCAUAGGUUUAGAGACGCUUAGGCCAAUAAAGACCGUGUCCCAGAUUGAAGAUGGAGCCAGGAUAAACAACAGCAAUCCCAGGCACCAAAGUGCUUAGUCAAAUGAGUCCUACUGCCACCUGUGUUCAAAUAUGGGAGCAGAACAAUUACAGUCAUUAUGGUAUUAUUAAUCUGUACAGAACAUCUUCCAAGAGAAAUUACCAGGCAGCUUGUUCAAGUGGGUGUGUGGGUGGGGCGUGGAUCCCAGCAGCAGCCCAGGCACUGAGUAAUGUAUUGGGCAGUCUUGGCCAAGACACUUUCCAAUAUUGGCUCAUCAAUUGUAACAACUUACCACACUAAUACAACAUGUUAGUAAUAGAGGAAGCUAGGGAGAGGGGGCAGUAAGGGGGUAGAUGGACACAUUCCCCUCCAUUUUUAUGUAAACCUAAAACUGCUCUAAAAAUAGAGUCUAAGUUUUUAAAAGUCA